GGAUCAGUGAUGAAGCACAAUCAAACAUUUCUCGGAAAGCUGACCAAAAUGAGUGAAAACUCUGCACCACCACUCUUAUUGAGACUGAGGUCC